GAUGAACGCUGGCGGCGUGCCUAAUACAUGCAAGUCGAGCGAAUGGAUUAAGAGCUUGCUCUUAUGAAGUUAGCGGCGGACGGGUGAGUAACACGUGGGUAACCUGCCCAUAAGACUGGGAUAACUCCGGGAAACCGGGGCUAAUACCGGAUAAUAUUUUGAACUGCAUGGUUCAAAAUUGAAAGGCGGCUUCGGCUGUCACUUAUGGAUGGACCCGCGUCGCAUUAGCUAGUUGGUGAGGUAACGGCUCACCAAGGCAACGAUGCGUAGCCGACCUGAGAGGGUGAUCGGCCACACUGGGACUGAGACACGGCCCAGACUCCUACGGGAGGCAGCAGUUGGGAAUCUUCCGCAAUGGACGAAAGUCUGACGGAGCAACGCCGCGUGAGUGAUGAAGGCUUUCGGGUCGUAAAACCCUGUUGUUAGGGAAGAACAAGUGCUAGUUGAAUAAGCUGGCACCUUGACAGUACCUAACCAGAAAGCCACGGCUAACUACGUGCCAGCCGCCGCCGUAA
rnacentral:rRNA from 1 species